CGGCUCCUGUUAGAGCUCUAUGGUCAGCCGCCAUCUUGUUCUUGCUUCGUACCAGAGGAGAGGAGGAAGGUUGCAUCUCUCGGCCUCAUCAUGUCCCUGCAGUUGCUGAGAAGAGCGGCGCUCAGGCUGCCCAGCCUGGCUCCCCAGCCUGUCAGAGGCGUCACUGCUAAGCCCCCCAAGGAUCCUAUAGGGCCCGUGGAGACGGCUAUUGGCAUGACCACCUUCUUCAUAUCAUUCCUGGUCCCAUCAGGCUGGAUCCUGCUGAACAUAGAAAGCUACAAGACCAGAGAAUCUUAGGAGGAGUGGACCAACCCUCAUCAGCCCUGAAGCACAGGUGCUACUUCCUCCCCAGAUGCAUGGCUUCCUCCAUUCCAGGGAAGAGUUCUCUCCCGUGUCCAUCUCCCAUGGGGACCAGUGUCCUGAAAUAGAUUCUCUGCUGCUUCCCGGCCGUCACAGAGGAUGUAGUUCAAGAUGGCAGCACUCCGGAGACUUAAAUCUGUUACAAUAAAUCCUGUUACAUUCCUGUAA